AAAAUACAGGAUUGGGGGAGACUUAAUUGUGGUUCUCAUCAGGAGCUUAGAGGCUCAGAUGGAUCCACCAAGAACUGAAUAAACUGAAUCUCUGAAGAUUUCUUUCUGGGGUUAACGCGCUUUGCUGCCUAAUUUAAAGCCAGCCGUAUUUAGUUGUGUAAAAGAACAACAAGUGUCAUUCCCCUAUGCCCUGUUUUAUACCUGUCAUGACUGCUGGAGUAUCCAGCCUUU